CCUACGGGGGGCUGCAGUGGGGAAUAUUGGACAAUGGGGGCAACCCUGAUCCAGCCAUGCCGCGUGUGUGAAGAAGGCCCUCGGGUUGUAAAGCACUUUCAGUGAGGAAGAACGCCUGGUGGUUAAUACCCAUCAGGAAAGACAUCACUCACAGAAGAAGCACCGGCAUAACUCCGUGCCAGCAGCCGCGGUAAUACGGAGGGUGCGAGCGUUAAUCGGAAUUACUGGGCGUAAAGCGCGCGUAGGUGGCUUGAUAAGCCGGUUGUGAAAGCCCCGGGCUCAACCUGGGAACGGCAUCCGGAACUGUCAAGCUAGAGUGCAGGAGAGGAAGGUAGAAUUCCCGGUGUAGUGGUGAAAUGCGUAGAGAUCGGGAGGAAUACCAGUGGCGAAGGCGGCCUUCUGGACUGACACUGACACUGAGGUGCGAAAGCGUGGGUAGCAAACAGGAUUAGAUACCCCUGUAGUC
rnacentral:rRNA from 1 species